rnacentral:lncRNA from 1 species
GCUCAGCUCCCCUGCUGACCCAGCUCAUGUUCGAACUUUCAAAGAACAGGAACAGAUUUUAAACAACUGAUGCAUCUUUUCAUGGCUGUUAUGAUUCCUGGGAAGUCCUCUGAGGGAGAUAGAGAAACCCUACACUGAUAGGAAUCAGCAGGGUACAGUUUUUUGUCGAAGUCCGUUGCAUCGUCCAGUAAGGAACAAAGUAGGAGAGGCCUCAGGGAUUCUGCAGGAGAUGAGCUGCCCGCUGGCCCCCUUCCGUGGGCUUGUGCCCCAGGG